rnacentral:pre_miRNA from 14 species
UGGAUGGCGUUGUCUCGUAGAGGUCCAGAUCUCUCCUGUUGGCAACUCGAAAUCUCUACGAGAUAACAGUUUG